UACAGAGGGUGCGAGCGUUAAUCGGAAUUACUGGGCGUAAAGCGUGCGCAGGCGGUUAUGUAAGUCAGGUGUGAAAUCCCCGGGCUCAACCUGGGAACUGCAUCUGUGACUGCAUAGCUAGAGUACGGUAGAGGGGGAUGGAAUUCCGCGUGUAGCAGUGAAAUGCGUAGAUAUGCGGAGGAACACCGAUGGCGAAGGCAAUCCCCUGGACCUGUACUGACGCUCAUGCACGAAAGCGUGGGGAGCAAACAGG
rnacentral:rRNA from 1 species